GCACGAGAAAGUGGAGCAAUCCAUGAGUAAAGUGGCGCACGGGUGAGUAACACGUGAAUCAUCUACCUCCGAGUGGGGAAUAACCUAGAGAAAUCUGGGCUAAUACCGCAUAACACUUACGAGUCAAAGCAGCAAUGCGCUUGGAGAGGAGUUCGCGGCCGAUUAGUUAGUUGGCGGGGUAAUGGCCCACCAAGACGAUGAUCGGUAUCCGGCCUGAGAGGGCGCACGGACACACUGGAACUGAAACACGGUCCAGACUCCUACGGGAGGCAGCAGUGGGGAAUUUUGCGCAAUGGGGGAAACCCUGACGCAGCAACGCCGCGUGGAGGAUGAAAUAUCUUGGUAUGUAAACUCCUUUCGAUGGGGAAGAUUAUGACGGUACCCAUAGAAGAAGCCCCGGCUAACUUCGUG
rnacentral:rRNA from 1 species